rnacentral:rRNA from 1 species
AACGAACGCUGGCGGCAGGCCUAACACAUGCAAGUCGAGCGCGCCUUCGGGUGAGCGGCGGACGGGUUAGUAACGCGUGGGAACGUGCCCUUCUCUACGGAAUAGCCUCUGGAAACGGAGAGUAAUACCGUAUACGCCCUUUGGGGGAAAGAUUUAUCGGAGAAGGAUCGGCCCGCGUUAGAUUAGGUAGUUGGUGAGGUAAAGGCUCACCAAGACGAUGAUGGGUAGCUGGUCUGAGAGGAUGAUCAGCCACAAUGGGACUGAGACACGGCCCAUACCCCUACGGGGGGCAGCAGUGGGGAAUAUUGCACAAUGGACGAAAGUCUGAUGCAGCCACCCCGCGUGGAGGAUGAAGCAUUACGGUGUGUAAACUCCUUUUCUGGAGGAAGACGACUGACGGUACUCCAGGAAUAAGCGACGGCUAACUACGUG